rnacentral:rRNA from 1 species
AUGGAGAUUGCCAUGGUAUGCACAAGAGUUAACCUCCUCAUCCUCAUCCUCUCCCUCUGCUCGCCAUACAAGUUCAUCCAGAGCCCCAUGGACUUUGGCCCCUUGAACCUGCUCCCCACCACCAUCGCUGCGUCCAGUGAUUUCGGUAGGAUCCUCUUCCACUCCCCGUCCGCGGUGUUGAAGCCCCAGUCCCCGAGGGACAUCUCUCUGCUUCUUAGCUUCCUCUCUGCCUCGUCUCUAGGCAAGGUGACAGUGGCGGCCAGGGGUGCGGGUCACUCCAUUCAUGGACAGGCCCAGGCCCUCGAUGGCAUUGUGGUGGAGAUGCGCUCCUUGCCUGCCGAGAUAGAGCUGCACAAAGGAGGAGAAGGAGAUGCUUCCUAUGCUGAUGUGAGCGGCGGAGCCAUGUGGAUAGAGCUCCUGGAGCAGAGCUUGAAGGCUGGGCUGGCUCCAAGGUCCUGGACUGAUUACCUCUACAUCACCAUUGGUGGGACUUUGUCCAAUGCCGGCAUCAGCGGGCAGACAUUCAAGCAUGGGCCUCAGAUUAGCAAUGUUCUACAGCUGGAGGUAGUCACAGGCAGGGGAGAGACCAUGACAUGCUCGCCCACCAAGAAUGCAGAGCUGUUCAGCGCUGUUCUGGGAGGCCUUGGCCAGUUUGGCAUCAUAACUAGGGCAAGGAUCCUGCUGCAGGAAGCUCCACAGAAAGUGAAGUGGGUGAGGGCCUUCUACGACGAUUUUGGCACCUUCACCAAAGACCAGGAGUUGCUGGUGUCGAUGCCGGAUAUGGUGGACUACGUAGAAGGUUUCAUCGUCUUGAACGAACAGUCCCUUCACAGCUCCUCCAUCGCCUUCCCUGCAAAUAUGGACUUCAGCCCAGAUUUUGGCACCAAGGGCAGGCCUAAGAUCUACUACUGCAUAGAGUUUGCGGUUCAUGAUUAUCAGCGCAAGAAUACCAAUGUGGAGCACGUGGUGGAAGCCAUCUCAGUGCAGAUGAGCCACAUAGCAUCCCACCUGUACAGUGUGGAGGUGUCCUACUUUGAUUUCCUCAACAGGGUGAGGAUGGAGGAGAUGAGCCUGAGGAGCAGCGGGCUCUGGGAGGUGCACCACCCGUGGCUCAACAUGUUCGUGCCCAAGGCCGGGAUCAGGGACCUGAGGGACCUUCUCAUGGACAACAUCUCACCGGAUAACUUUGAGGGGCUCAUCCUCAUCUAUCCACUCCUCAGAGACAAGUGGGGCACUAACACAUCGGUCGUGCUACCGGAUUCCGGGUCCACAGAGCAGGUGAUGUACGUGGUUGGCAUUCUCCGUUCUGCAAACCCUGAUGAAGGAUGCUCCCACCACUGCCUCCAAGAGCUUCUCCGCCGUCAUCGCCACAUAGCUGACACCGCCGGAGUGCGCAUCGGUGCAAAACAGUACUUGGCUCACCAUCCAACUCCGGCUGGCUGGCACCAACACUUUGGCCCGCGUUGGGAGCGGUUCGCGGAGCGCAAAAACCGGUUUGACCCGCUGUCCAUCCUCGGGCCAGGCCAAGGUAUAUUCCCCAAGGGCAGCAAUGGGGUUUAUGCAAGCUGA